rnacentral:snRNA from 1 species
UUGCUUCUGCAGCACAUAUACUAAAAUUGGAGUGGUACAGGGAAGAUUAGCAUGGUCCUUGUGCAAGGAUUCAUGUAAAUUCAUGAAAUGUUUCCAUGUUCA